rnacentral:rRNA from 1 species
GAUGAACGCUGGCGGCGUGCCUAAUACAUGCAAGUCGAGCGAACGGACGAGAAGCUUGCUUCUCUGAUGUUAGCGGCGGACGGGUGAGUAACACGUGGAUAACCUACCUAUAAGACUGGGAUAACUUCGGGAAACCGGAGCUAAUACCGGAUAAUAUUUUGAACCGCAUGGUUCAAAAGUGAAAGACGGUCUUGCUGUCACUUAUAGAUGUAUCCGCGCUGCAUUAGCUAGUUGGUAAGGUAACGGCUUACCAAGGCAACGAUGCGUAGCCGACCUGAGAGGGUGAUCGGCCACACUGGAACUGAGACACGGUCCAGACUCCUACGGGAGGCAGCAGUAGGGAAUCUUCCGCAAUGGGCGAAAGCCUGACGGAGCAACGCCGCGUGAGUGAUGAAGGUCUUCGGAUCGUAAAACUCUGUUAUUAGGGAAGAACAUAUGUGUAAGUAACUGUGCACAUCUUGACGGUACCUAAUCAGAAAGCCACGGCUAACUACGUG